AUUGAACGCUGGCGGCAUGCCUUACACAUGCAAGUCGAACGGUAACAGGUCUUCGGAUGCUGACGAGUGGCGAACGGGUGAGUAAUACAUCGGAACGUGCCUAGUAGUGGGGGAUAACUACUCGAAAGAGUGGCUAACACCGCAUGAGAUCUACGGAUGAAAGCAGGGGAUCGCAAGACCUUGUGCUACUAGAGCGGCCGAUGGCAGAUUAGGUAGUUGGUGGGAUAAAAGCUUACCAAGCCGACGAUCUGUAGCUGGUCUGAGAGGACGAUCAGCCACACUGGGACUGUGACACGGCCCAGAUGCCUACGGGAGGCAGCAGUGGGGAAUUUUGGAUAAUGGGCGCAAGCCUGAUCCAGCCAUGCCGCGUGCAGGAUGAAGGCCUUCGGGUUGUAAACUGCUUUUGUACGGAACGAAAAGACUCCUUCUAAUAAAGGGGGUCCAUGACGGUACCGUAAGAAUAAGCACCGGCUAACUACGUGCCAGCAGCCGCCGUAACAC
rnacentral:rRNA from 1 species